UUCGGGAACUGUGAGACAGGUGCUGCAUGGCUGUCGUCAGCUCGUGUUGUGAAAUGUUGGGUUAAGUCCCGCAACGAGCGCAACCCUUAUCCUUUGUUGCCAGCGGUCCGGCCGGGAACUCAAAGGAGACUGCCAGUGAUAAACUGGAGGAAGGUGGGGAUGACGUCAAGUCAUCAUGGCCCUUACGACCAGGGCUACACACGUGCUACAAUGGCGCAUACAAAGAGAAGCGACCUCGCGAGAGCAAGCGGACCUCAUAAAGUGCGUCGUAGUCCGGAUUGGAGUCUGCAACUCGACUCCAUGAAGUCGGAAUCGCUAGUAAUCGUGGAUCAGAAUGCCACGGUGAAUACGUUCCCGGGCCUUGUACACACCGCCCGUCACACCAUGGGAGUGGGUUGCAAAAGAAGUAGGUAGCUUAACCUUCGGGAGGGCGCUUACCACUUUGUGAUUCAUGACUGGGGUGAAGUCGUAACAAGGUAACCGUAGGGGAACCUGC
rnacentral:rRNA from 7 species